UUCAGUCUUUUUUAGUAGCCACUUAGUCACAAACACUGGUCAAAGUUAUCGUUCAUAAUUGUUUUUUGAAUUUUUAACAUACAAACAAAUAUAAAUGCUAAAUUUGGCCAGUGUUUGUGACUAAGUGGCUACUAAAAAGACUGGA